rnacentral:rRNA from 1 species
UUUAUUGGAGAGUUUGAUCCUGGCUCAGGACGAACGCUGGCGGCGUGCCUAAUACAUGCAAGUCGAGCGAAUCUGAGGGAGCUUGCUCCUGACGAUUAGCGGCGGACGGGUGAGUAACACGUGGGUAACCUGCCUGUAAGAUUGGGAUAACUCCGGGAAACCGGAGCUAAUACCGGAUAACAUUUCGAACCGCAUGGUUCGAAGUUGAAAGGUGGCUUUUGCUACCACUUACAGAUGGACCCGCGGCGCAUUAGCUAGUUGGUGAGGUAACGGCUCACCAAGGCGACGAUGCGUAGCCGACCUGAGAGGGUGAUCGGCCACACUGGGACUGAGACACGGCCCAGACUCCUACGGGAGGCAGCAGUAGGGAAUCUUCCGCAAUGGACGAAAGUCUGACGGAGCAACGCCGCGUGAGCGAAGAAGGCCUUCGGGUCGUAAAGCUCUGUUGUUAGGGAAGAACAAGUACCGUUCGAAUAGGGCGGUACCUUGACGGUACCUAACCAGAAAGCCACGGCUAACUACGUGCCAGCAGCCGCGGUAAUACG